rnacentral:rRNA from 1 species
ACGCUCGACACCUACGGGAGCAGCAGUGGGGAAUAUUGCACAAUGGGGGAAACCCUGAUGCAGCGACGCCGCGUGAGCGAAGAAGUAUUUCGGUAUGUAAAGCUCUAUCAGCAGGGAAGAAGAAAGACGGUACCUGACUAAGAAGCCCCGGCUAACUACGUGCCUGCAGCCGCGGUAAUCUGAGCGGGCUGGCAAGGC